UGAGAUGGCCAGACAAUCGCGCUGAGAUAAUUCAGUGAGGAAAGUCCGGGCUCCAAAGGGUAAGGUGCCAGGUAACGCCUGGGGGGCGUGAGUCCACGGCAAGUGCAACAGAAAGAAUACCGCCCGGUGAUGUAAGAUUUGCGUCUGCAGCCGGGUAAGGGUGAAAUGGUGCGGUAAGAGCGCACCGCGCGGCUGGCAACAGCAACGGCAAGGUAAACCCCACCUGGAGCAAGACCAAAUAGGGGAACACGUGUUUCGGCACAACAUGCGACCCGCAUGGUUCCCGGGUAGGUUGCUUGAGGCAGAUGGUGACAUCUGUCCCAGAUGAAUGAUUGUCCACGACAGAACCCGGCUUAUCGGCCAUCUCAAUUU
rnacentral:RNase_P_RNA from 2 species